rnacentral:rRNA from 1 species
AAUGAACGCUGGCGGCGUGGUUAAGACAUGCAAGUCGAACGGUCUUCAAUGAAGGGCAACCGGAUUUGAAAGCAGUGGCGAACGGGUGCGUAACACGUGAACAAUCUACCUCCAAGUGGGGAAUAGCUCGCCGAAAGGCGAAUUAAUACCGCAUGUGGUGCUCUCUCGCAUGAGAGGGUUACUAAAAACAGGGACCGCAAGGCCUGUUGCUAGGAGAGGAGUUCGCGGCCUAUCAGCUAGUUGGCGAGGUAACGGCUCACCAAGGCUAAGACGGGGAGCUGGUCUGAGAGGAUGAUCGGCCACACUGGAACUGAGACACGGUCCAGGCACCUACGGGUGGCAGCAGGUUCGAAUCAUUCACAAUGGGCGAAAGCCUGACGGUGCGACGCCGCGUGAGGGAUGAAGGUCUUCGGAUUGUAAACCUCUGUCACCGGGGAAGAAACGCUUUGAGUUAAUAGUUCAAAGCCUGACUUAACCCGGAGAGGAAGCAGUGGCUAACUCUGUGCCAGCAGCCGCGGUAAGAC